UUAAGACUUGAGUCUUCAGAGCACAGCCUGCCAGCAGAGCAGGGUUUAAAGGCUAAGCCUUGCAGGCUGGUCAGCUGACUGGGGCUGUCACAUGUCUGUGAGAGGGCCCAGGCCAGAACUAUAUAAGCCCUGGUCUGAGCUAGCCAGAGUCCAGGCUGAGACAGAGGGUAGACUCUGAAAGGCUCCAAGCAAAGUUGCAGCAGCCCUACAAGUGAGAGGAACUGGCAGUGGGGAUUCAGAGAUGUGGAGCCCAUAGCUCCCCCCUCACAAGAAGACCAAAAGGAACAGCAAGACUGGGAACUGAUCAUCUCUCUCCUAGAUAUUUCCUGAAGGUACACAGGAAACAGCCUUUCAGCCCCCAAAACAACUGUUCUCUCCAUUGAGGAACUCAAUGGCCCCUUCAGCCCCAGCAGAGAAUCACUGAGACUGGAGCUCUUGAAAUAAUCAGCUAAGGAUAGCAAAUAUAAGGUCACUCCUGCUCCAGCCAUGACAGCCCCCCACAAGGCAAGUCAAACCCUUGUAGCAAUGGUUCCUGUUCCAACUGGCUUCUCAGUCCAGCAGCAGCAAAAGAGCAUCAUUUUUCUUGAUCCACGUGCUCUUUCCUACCACCAGUCAUCUGCCUCACUCACCAUACACUUGGAUGUACCUUUAUUCUGUCCUUGCCAGCAAAACUAACUCAACAGGUAAGAAAAUCUGGAGGCUUAUUUUGAUAUGAAGAAUGCUAGUCUGCUGAGAAUCAAACAUGUUCUGUAUGGGAGCAUAUUCACAUAAACCAGGGAUGUAGGUUGUAGCCAUGUUGGUCUAAGGACAUAGGCAGACAAGGUUCUUUGGGUAAAUCUGAUAUCUUUUAUUAGACCAAUUAAAUAGUUGGAAACAAAAUUCUUAGCAAACUUUUGGGUUUAAAAACAGUUCGUCAGGC